rnacentral:misc_RNA from 1 species
GGCAGACGAUUGUCGAACGCCGCUCCGUUCGAAUAUUUCGAUUCUUUACCGGAUAUUGAUAUUCUAUUCCACGAAAUCGAACGCGUGUGUGUAAUAUACGCGUCUCAAAGUGCACGGAACGACUGUACGUAUUACCUCUCUUCUUAUUUUCUUAAUCUUUCCUUAAUCUUUCCUUUUUUUGUUUAUUUUUUAUACUUUGAUUUCUUUUUUUCUCCGUUUUCUUCUCUCUUGUUCUAUUCUUUAUUCUCUUCUUAAUUUGCAACCUCUUUCUCCCUCUCGUAGCCCUUGAUUUGAGAUUUUCGUUGUUGCUUAUCGAACGUCUUUUACGCGCCCGCAGCGCCAGGCCCGCGUUUUCGAACGAUGAAAAUGUGGGUGGUAGCAGCUGGCUUUAAUCGGCGCCCGUGUGGGUACUGGUUCGACUUAUACGCACGCCUAUAACGGAAUGCGUCUAAUCAAUCGACGUCGUCCGGGAGACGUCUAGCUUUCGAAGGCUGUAAAGAAAGGAGAAAAUCAUUCAAGCGAGAAGAGUGUGAGAAAAGAUAUAACAAGAGCGAUAGAGGAGAAGAAGAGAGAAAGGGUAGGAGAAAAGAAAAUGAGGCUAUAUAUAUUAUAUAUAUGUAUGAAUAUAAAAAAAGUAUAUAUGGUGAGAGAGGGACAGAAGGAAGAAGAGAGAAGCAGAAAUAGAUAGGAAUUAGAAGAAGCAGGGAGAGAGAGGGGAGGGAGAGUGAGUGGGAGAGUGAGCGUUUAUUUUAGAGAUUUACCCGCUUUCUAUAAACUCUGUUUAUUCAAGUCGGCCUCUUUUUAUUCUUUCUUUCUUUUUUUUCUUUUCGCUAUAUCUUUUCAUUGUAAACAGCAUGCCCGAAUCGCCAGCGCCCACCGCCACCGUCGUUUUGUCGUCGCCUUCUCGACCUCUUUCCAGUCCGCCUUCUCGAACUCCCACUCCGCCUCAUUCGUCAUCCUCUGGACAGCCGACUAGUGCUAAUCAACAGCUGCCUCCCGCUUGUGGAGCUAAGCAACUCAGCAAGCUCAAGCGCUUCCUCACCACCCUUCAGCAGUUCGGAAGCGAUAUUUCACCGGAAAUUGGAGAGCGUGUUCGAUCGCUCGUUUUGGCUCUCGUUAACUCGCAUCUGUCCAUAGAAGAAUUUCACAACAAACUACAGGAGGCUACCAAUUUCCCACUAAGACCAUUUGUUAUACCUUUCUUAAAGGCCAACCUGCCCCUACUGCAGAGGGAAUUGGCGCAGUGCGCUUCCUUAGCAAAGCAGACGCCCCAGCAGUAUUUUGCUCGACACCAUCACGUCCUUCUCUCAGACGGUCUGGAGGGUAGUGUAGUUGAACAGUUAAACGAAAAUGGCAAGCGGCCGUCGCCUGAUAAGACGAAAGAAGAAGCGCCGUCGACGAAACGACACUGCAAUUCAUCGCCUACUUCCAUCAAUUUGCCUAUAGGAGGAGGACCAAUACGUCUAGAGGACAUAAGUCUAUCAAGGGAAUUGCGUGAGAGAGAAAUGAGCCAGAUGAGAGAGCGAGUGGAACGUGAGCGUCGCAUGGGUUCGUUCAAUACCCUCUUCGCCAACGCCCGCCACGACAUUUUCGAAGAUGAGUUCAAGCAUGUUGAGCACAUGCUACAUUGCCUCUCCGAUAUGGUCGAUAAGACAAAACGAGCGGUCUCUGGCCUUCAAGAAAGAGUUAACAGAGAGAGAGAAGAUCUCUUUGCAUGGCUCCGACGAUCGGAUAUCGAUAAGAAGACGGUCGAUCCUCUGAUACUCAGGCAGACAGAGGAGCGAGUGGCUGAUGUAAAGAAAAGAGCGGAAGAGGCCGUAAACGAAGUGAAACGUCAAGCGGUAGCGGAACUACAGAAGGCAGUGUCGGCUGCCGAAAGCAAAGCUUCAGAACUCGUUCACGCGGAAAGGGUAAAGCUGGAACGAGCUUUAGCCGACGCUCGCAAACAAGCGACGCAAGACGCACUCACCAUGCUUAAUCAACAAGAAGAAUCUAAUGAGGUAAGCGGUGAAGGUCACAUCACUCAAUGCAACCGAUUCGAUUUUCGCCAACAGUCCUGCUGGAAUUGCGGAAGAAAGGCAAGUGAAACGUGCAGUGGCUGCAAUGUUGCCCGUUAUUGCGGUGCGUUCUGUCAACACAAAGACUGGGAAUUACACCACAGAGUUUGCGGACAAUCGAACGUUUCCCGACAUUCGCAGGCGAUCGCAUCGGCAACAGCAGAUUCUCAAACGCCUCGUCCUAAGUCGAGGACAUCGAGUCCCACGCCAUCUAGCGCUGUUGAAUAACGAUGGAUAUAUCAUCUUAACUUCACUCCUUCCUUCUAUUUCUUCUUUAUCUUCUUCUUCUUCUUCUUCUUCUUCUUCUAGUCCUUGCCCUGCCCUUCUCCCAUGACGACCCUCGCCCUACCCAUUUUCGGUUUGUUUUCUUUUUCUGUUGAAUCUGUGAUAUUGUUAUUAUAUACCGUCUCGGUUUAUGUAAAGGAAAAAGGCAAGAUGAAUAUGUAUAUAUAUAUAUUUAUGUAUAUCGAAAUGUUUAUAUAUACAUAUGCAUAGCGUAUAGAUGUCGCGCGGCUUGUGCUUUAGAUCUGGUUUAAAAGUAACCUGAUGUUUUACAAUUAUAUAAUAUUUAAGUUUAUAUUCGUA